GUUCCCCUUAAAGUAACUGAAACAGGAAAAAAGAGUUAACACAUAUACAGUAACCGCAGAUUUUUCAUCUUUAUUUAUGCACUCAACACACAUAUAGGUAGACCAUUCAUCAACACGAUAAUAUCACGAGUUUGAUCCUUACAGAACUAAGACCAAACUUGAUAGUUCAAAUAUUAACAAGCACGCAUAUAUUAUCCCUAACAAAUUAGCACCAAAAAAAAGAAAAAAAAAAUUCAACCAAAGCGACAUUCCUUAGGAGAUAUGAAGGCUCUUAUUCAGUCUUAUACGUAAAACAAACACCGGCAAGACUAUUACUGACCCAGAAUUCGCUUCUUGUAAAAUUCAACAAGCUCUUUAGGAUCUGUUUUUGUCUGCUUGUAAGCCCCAAGCUUGUUUAUCUCCUCAAUCCAAGCAGCAAGUUUAGGCCUGCCUGCAGUGAUAUCAUAUUUGAAUACCUCUGACAAGAAGAUUUGGAAUCUUUCAACAAAUGGUAUAUAGGCUAUAUCCACCAAACUGAAUUG
rnacentral:misc_RNA from 1 species